rnacentral:lncRNA from 1 species
CCACCUUCAGCUCUGGUUGGACAGAAGCCACCCCGUCCAGGCUCCCACCUUGUAGGAGAGCCGAGGGGUCUGGUAGGGAGCGGAGGCCGAGGUCUCGGCCACCGGGAGAAUGACGAGCCCACUGGAGAAGGACCCUGAGCCCAAUGGGGCACUGAGCCCUGGGCCUGGGGAUACCAAUAGCUGGGGCUUUGGGAGGGAUCCAGCCCCCAGUCCUCGAGACUCACUGGCCCCGGAAGACUUAGAGAUGUUUGUGCUGGACUUUGAGGAUGGUGACCUGUGGGAGUCCAUCAGGGGCCAGCUGGGCCCCAUGGCAGGGCCACCAACUU